rnacentral:rRNA from 1 species
UACGUAGGUCCCGAGCGUUGUCCGGAAUUACUGGGUGUAAAGGGUGCGCAGGCGGUCUUGUGCGUCAGAAGUGAAAUAUCACGGCUUAACCGUGAGGGUGCUUUUGAUACGGCAAGACUUGAGUACGGGAGAGGAUGAUGGAAUUCCGGGUGUAGCGGUGGAAUGCGUAGAGAUCCGGAAGAACACCAGUGGCGAAGGCGGCUCACUGGCCCGAUACUGACACUGAGGAGCGAAAGCGUGGGGAGCGAACAGG